rnacentral:rRNA from 1 species
UACGGGGGGGGCAAGCGUUGUUCGGAAUUACUGGGCGUAAAGGGCUCGUAGGCGGCCAACUAAGUCGGGCGUGAAAUGCCGGGGCUCAACCCCGGGACUGCGUCCGAUACUUCCGAGCUGGAGGUAGGUAGGGGAGAUCGGAAUUCCUGGUGUAGCGGUGAAAUGCGCAGAUAUCAGGAGGAACACCGGUGGCGAAGGCGGAUCUCUGGGCCUUACCUGACGCUGAGGCGCGAAAGCUAGGGGAGCGAACAGG